GCCGCGGUGGUGUAGCCCGGUCCAGCAUGGGGGCCUGUCACGCCCCAGACCCGAGUUCAAAUCCCGGCCGCGGCG
rnacentral:tRNA from 1 species